UCCCCAAGUUUUGGACUCAAUCCGAUAUCGAUUGGUCCUUGAAAUCGGACAAUUCAGGUUCGUACGAAGUUCGUUCUGAAAUGGAGUGGUUGGUUUAUCUUAUAGUUCUAGGGAUUGGAUUUCACUCAAAACCCACGAAAUGACUCCUCCCACAAUAUUAUGAUGUUCCCCAAGUUUUGGUCUCAAUCCGAUAUCAAUUGGUCAAUGCAAUCGGACAAUUCAAGUUUGUACGAAGUUCGUUCUAAAAUGGGGUGGUUGGUGUAUUGUAUAGUUCAAGAGAUUGGAUUUCACUCAAAACCCACCAAAUGACUCCACCCGCAAUAUUAUGAUGUUCCCCAAGUUUUGGACGCAAUCCGAUAUCUAUUGGUCCCUGUAAUCGGACAAUUGAAGUUCGUACGAAGUUCGUUCUGAAAUGGAGUGGCUGAAGUAUUGUAUAGUUCUAGAGAUUGGAUUUCACUCAAAAAUCACCAAACGACUCCUCCCACAAUAUUAUGUUGCUCCCCAAGUUUUGGACUCAAUCCGAUAUCGAUUGGUCCUUGAAAUCGAACAAUUCAGGUUCGUACGAAGUUCGUUCUGAAAUGGGGUGGUUGGUGUAUUGUAUAGUUCUAGAGACUGGAUUUCACUCAAAACCCACCAAAUGACUCCUCCCACAAUAUUAUGAUGUUCCCCAACUUUUGGACUCAAUCCGAUAUCAAUUGGUCCUUGUAAUCGGACAAUUCAGGUUCGUACGAAGUUCGUUC
rnacentral:lncRNA from 1 species